GAAAUGCGAUAAGUAAUGUGAAUUGCAGAAUUCAGUGAAUCAUCGAAUCUUUGAACGCACAUUGCGCCCCCUGGUAUUCCGGGGGGCAUGCCUGUUCGAGCGUCAUUUCACCACUCAAGCCUCGCUUGGUAUUGGGCAACGCGGUCCGCCGCGUGCCUCAAAUCGACCGGCUGGGUCUUCUGCCCCCUAAGCGUUGUGGAAACUAUUCGCUAAAGGGUGUUCGGGAGGCUACGCCGUAAAACAACCCCAUUUCUAAGGUUGACCUCGGAUCAGGUAGGGAUACCCGCUGAACUUAAGC
rnacentral:misc_RNA from 1 species